rnacentral:rRNA from 1 species
UACGGGGGGAGCAAGCGUUGUUCGGAUUUACUGGGCGUAAAGGGCGCGUAGGCGGCCACCGCAAGUCGAUUGUGAAAUCUCCGGGCUUAACCCGGAAAGGUCAACCGAUACUGCGGGGCUAGAGUGCAGAAGGGGCAACUGGAAUUCUCGGUGUAGCGGUGAAAUGCGUAGAUAUCUGGAGGAACACCGGUGGCGAAGGCGGCAUCCUGGACCAACACUGACGCUGAGGAGCGAAAGCCAGGGGAGCAAACGGG